GUGGGAAGAAACCCGGAAGUAUCGCCGUGAAUCACAUGAGAGUUGCAAAUGCGAUGUUGUGUAUUAGGCUGUACAUCAUAUUAACGUAAAGAGAGUGAUAAUAUAUAUCCUUUCAUCUAUUCCCGAGUGACUCAAAGGGAUAUUGGACCUUAUUUUCAGAUUACAGACAACACGAGAGGGUGCUCCAAACUUUUUAAUCAGGACUGCAUUGUUUGUUCGCUCCCGGGGUUACAUAGACUGAAACGGGGAAGCGUGACGAGUUUGUUUACAUGGUGCUGUAAACUCCAACCCAGGAGGACACUUCAGAGGAAUCAAGGUGUCUGUGAUGUUGAAACACUAAAGGAAGAAGAGGAGGACCACUAUUUGUUUCCUGAUCAGAACACAAGAGAAGAAUCUAACAGUGGUUUGGGGGCAUUGCAAGACCAUGAUUACCUGGAAACAUCUCCUAUUAUGGAAGAGCACAACAUCAUGCUCGCAACAUUUGUGUCCUGGAUCAGUUUUUCUUGUUUCUCUGCUGUAUGAGGCAGGGGCUUCUUUCCGCAGAUUUAGCUGUAAGGUUUAAAGGUCCAGUUUUUCCUGAUCCCAUUUUUUAAACUUUAGUUAGUGUGUAAUGUUGCUGUUAGAGCAUAAAUAAUACCUGUAAAUUAUAAAGCUCAAAAUUCAAUGCCAAGCGAUAUAUUUUCUUUAAUAGAAUUUCCCUUUUAAAGCAUACAGCAAACGGACGGUUUGGACUACAGCCCUCUACUUCCCGAUUGAAUGACAUCCAAAGAAGAGUUUUUUUUUUACUAACUCUCACCCACAGGAAUACGUCAGUCGCAAGCAAAGCUCAAAUGGCUCUGCUAAGUUAAGUUGCUGUUAAAUCACAACACACUAAACAAACUACUACACAAUCAAAACUUGAUAUAUAUUUCUGAAGGAGGGACUUCAUAGAACAAG